rnacentral:rRNA from 1 species
AGAGUUUGAUCAUGGCUCAGGAUAAACGCUGGCGGCGCACAUAAGACAUGCAAGUCGAACGGACUUAAUCGAUUCUUUUAGAUUCGAAGCGGUUAGUGGCGGACUGGUGAGUAACACGUAAGCAACCUGCCUAUUAGAGGGGAAUAACAGUGAGAAAUCAUUGCUAAUACCGCAUAAGCUGAUAGUAUCGCAUGAUAUAGUCAGAAAAGGAGCAAUCCGCUAAUAGAUGGGCUUGCGUCUGAUUAGCUAGUUGGUGAGGUAACGGCUUACCAAGGCGACGAUCAGUAGCCGAGCUGAGAGGCUCUACGGCCACAUUGGGACUGAGAUACGGCCCAGACUCCUACGGGAGGCAGCAGUCGGGAAUAUUGCGCAAUGGAGGGAACUCUGACGCAGUGACGCCGCGUAUAGGAAGAAGGUUUUCGGAUUGUAAACUAUUGUCGUGAGGGAAGAAAAAUGACAGUACCUCAAGAGGAAGCUCCGGCUAACUAUGUGCCAGCAGCCGCGGUAAUACAUAGGGAGCAAGCGUUAUCCGGAUUUAUUGGGUGUAAAGGGUGCGUAGACGGAGAAGCAAGUUGGUUGUGAAAUCCCUCGGCUCAACUGAGGAACUGCAACCAAAACUACUUCCCUUGAGUGUCGGAGAGGAAAGUGGAAUUCCUAGUGUAGCGGUGAAAUGCGUAGAUAUUAGGAGGAACGCCAGUGGCGAAGGCGACUUUCUGGACGAUAACUGACGUUGAGGCACGAAAGUGUGGGGAGCAAACAGGAUUAGAUACCCUGGUAGUCCACACUGUAAACGAUGGAUA